rnacentral:lncRNA from 1 species
GCUUGGAAUGUUGUGUGGCAUCUGUUGGUGGAUGGUGAAUUGAGGGAUCCAAUCCCUAGCCACUAGGAGGGAGUCUCUUAUUGCUCGGUGUGCAGCCCAUUUCUUGCUUGACCCCAACAGUUGAUGGAGCUUGAUGAUGAGGGCCAGAUAUGGAUCAUGGGAGGCUGAAGUGGAGAUCCAGAUGAAUCGAAGGAGUUCUUUCCUAUGGAAGGAGAUCUAUGCACGAGCCUUUGUGGUCAAUUCAUAGACUAGGUGACUUAUGGGUGA